CAUCCAGCGCCGCACUUGCAGCCGCUUCCACAACCACAGUUUCCACCACAGCAAGACAUUUUCAGAUCACAGAACUCACAACGAUAUCAACGCAACACUGACAAUGCACUGAUCAGAACAAGUUGCUGGGAAUGGGGGAAACUGUGGGUGUG